rnacentral:lncRNA from 1 species
UAUGACUCAUCAAUCAUUCAAACAUCAUGGAGAACACGUAGCAAAAGUCACAUUAAAGCACACAUAAUUAGGUUCUUAUGAUGAGCAAAUGAAAGCUUCAACUUACCUCAAAAUCAAUAUGGUUUAUGAAGUGAAAGGAUCAGUCUUAGAUAAGGUGUGCUAGAAGCCUUGAUUAGAGAUGAAUUCAAACUUCAAAACGUAGGAUUUUCAGCUAGAAAAGGUGAAGAACUUGUUCUAGCU